GCUUGUCUCAAAGAUUAAGCCAUGCAUGUCUAAGUAUAAGCAAUUUGUACUGUGAAACUGCGAAUGGCUCAUUAAAUCAGUUAUAGUUUAUUUGAUCUUACCUUACUACUUGGAUAACCGUAGUAAUUCUAGAGCUAAUACAUGCAUUAAACCCCGACUUCUGGAAGGGGUGUAUUUAUUAGAUGGAAACCAAUGCGGGGUAACCCGGAAUAUGGUGAUUCAUAAUAACUUUCGGAUCGAUUUAUCGAUGCAUCAUUCAAGUUUCUGCCCUAUCAGCUUUGGAUGGUAGGGUAUUGGCCUACCAUGGCUUUAACGGGUAACGGAGAAUUAGGGUUCGAUUCCGGAGAGGGAGCCUGAGAAAUGGCUACCACAUCCAAGGAAGGCAGCAGG
rnacentral:rRNA from 1 species